CCUACGGGUGGCAGCAGUGAGGAAUAUUGGUCAAUGGCCGGAAGGCUGAACCAGCCAUGCCGCGUGAAGGUCAGUGCCCUAUGGGCGUUAAACUUCUUUUGUGCGGGAGCAAUAAUGGUCACGUGUGGCCAGACGAGAGUACCGUACGAAUAAGCAUCGGCUAACACCGUGCCAGCAGCGGCGGUGAAACGGGGGAUGCAAGCGUUAUCCGGAGUUCUUGGGUUUAAAGGGGGCGUAGGCUGUGAGGUAAGUCAGAGGUGAAAUGCCCCCGCUCAACGGGGUGAAGUGCCAUUGAUACUGCCUUGCUGGAAUGCGGAUGCCGUGGGAGGAAUGUGUGGUGUAGCGGUGAAAUGCAUAGAUAUCACACAGAACACCGAUUGCGAAGGCAUCUCACGAAUCCGCGAUUGACGCUGAUGCACGAAAGCGUGGGUAUCAAACAGGAUUAGAUACCCGUGUAGUC
rnacentral:rRNA from 1 species